GAGUGGAUCCCGGAGACGCUCUACAACACCGCCAUCUCCGCUGUCGUGGACAACUACAUCCGCUCGCGCCGCGACAUCCGCUCCUUGCCGGAGAAUAUCCAGUUCGACGUUUACUACAAGGUACAGGCGAUCUGUUCUAUCGGACCCCGCCGCUGCUCCUGGGCCGCACCCCCUUCCACGUCCACGGCCCGGCCUGUAGCUCUCGAGGUAGCGUCGGCUGCGGUGGCCGCUUUCCGAUACGCCGCCACCCCCGCGUCUGCCUCCCGGUCUGUGCGGCCCGGGGGGGUUCUUGUGUGAGAGCUAUCCGCCAUCCCCUUAGGGGCCCCAGGGUAGGCCUGCGGGAAUGCCUGACCCAGCCGAGUCCCACCCGGUCCUCUAGUCGCUGGGGUAUUUUCUGUCUUCUCUAGUGUUUGUAUCAGCUGGACUUUUUUGUUCCGCUCCACCCCUAAUUCUCCCUACUUUGUCAUCUCGUCGAUCCUCUUUACCCGAGUAACUGCUUUCUUUCUUUUUCUUUUUUUUUUCCCCUCCCUUCUCUAAUCCGAGUUUCGUCCCUUUCCUUUCUUUCAAUCCGAAAUGAUUUAGUUAGGGCUUAAUGAAAAUGGUCUGUGGGCUUCAUUUGCAUAUCCUUGAAAGCUUUUUUGUGUGGUUUCUAGGUUUGUUUUGGUUUUUCGGUUUACACUUUGGGUUAAAUUGGGAAUUUUACUAAUAGAUUAGUAAUAGACUGGAUCUUUAGAAAGGACGCAGUGAAAUUCCCUGAAAGCAAGAAGUAGAAAUCUGAAUUAUACCAAUGUGUAUGAAAAGUGCGAUUUUGCAGCAUUCUUGCGUCGCUCCCUCUCAAAAAUCUGCACAGAAAGUCCCAAGUUGCUCUCCAAGGAGUUUCAAGGGUAAGUGUUCAUAGACGUGGACAAUUUUUGCAGUGUUCUGAGAGGGAGGAGAACUUUAUGGACUCGGAGCCUCCCUUUUCCUCUCCCCCACGUUUGAGUGUGAACACUGGCCUUAUUCAGGGAUCCUUGCUUUGAGUCAGCGAGAAUUUCAGUUUCCAGUAGCCACUUUUGCAAAAUAUGACCAGUAGAGCUUUUAUUUUUAGAUCUUUAGUAUUACUUGAUUAGUUAGUUGUCUCCCAGCAGUGUAAUUUGAUAUUUAGCAGAUUUGUAUAUUCUUAUCUUUGUUCGGUGUUUUAGGGCGUUUGUUUUAUUAGAGAGAUUGUCUGCUUUUUCCAGCUUGAGAACAUUCUUUCAGAAUUAGCAACUGACAUACUGCAGUCUAUAAACCCUGCUGCUGCUUUGCACCAACCCUUACUUAACAGGUAAACUCAUUUCUCUCCUAAAUACCUGGAGAAGAUUCAUCUUGACAGCAUGUGUUAAAAUUUUUCGAUUUAGAAGGAAACCUCCCUCCAUUCCAAAUGGUUUUGAUACAUUGAUUACUUGUGUGUGACUAAUGUUAGUUUUAUGCAUUUAGGCUACAUCGGUACCAAGGACAAAUUAAUUUGUUUUGCUCAACCUGGAAAACUGCUGCAGUAUGUGCUAUUUCUGUUGAUUUUAUUAAGUCAUAUGUAUAGUGUACACCUUCUAGAGCAAGUCACUGGGAAUCUAACCAGUAAAAAUACCCUUACUCUCUGAAUUCUGUCAAAAUGCUUUUAGUAUCUUUUAGUACCCUCCACUGAAAUUAAAGCCUUUCCUUUGAAGAUUAUUGUUAGUGAGUAUGCUUUGGCCUGUGUCCUGUCUCUGUGUAGGUCAGAGUUUUCAUAUUGCUUUUUUGGGAACAUUUUAUUUUUUAGUCAGAUACUUGAUGUGGACCUUGGUGCAGGGCUUGGAGCUGGGUUAAAUACGGUCAUCUGUUACAUUUGUUUACGUCUUAUAACUAAAUUCACCUGUAUAGUAGAGUAUAACCCUGCAAAAACUUGUUUCCUUUUUUUUUAAAAUAAGAAUUACUUGUUUUAUUUAUGAGUACACACUGUAUCUAUCUUCAGACACACCGGAAGAGGGCAUCAGAUCCAAUUACAGAUGGUUGUGAGCCACCAGGUUGUUGCCGGGAUUUGAAUUCAGGACCUGGAAGAACAGUCAGUGUUCUUAACUGCUCAGCUAUCUCUCUAGCCCUUCUUUGUCUUAUUUAUGCUUUUACUGUUCUGGAAGUUGAAUCUAGGGUCUAGUUCAUGCUACACAAGCAGUCUACUACACUACAUCCCCAGAUUUUUUUUUAAAGAGAUGUAUUUAUUUAUUUAUUUUAUGUAUGUGAAUACAUUGUAGCUGAACAGAUGGCUGUAAGCCUUCAUGUGGUUGUUGAGAAUUGAAUUUUUAGGACCUCUGCCUGCUCCGGUUGUCUCCGCCAUUCUGGUCAACUCUGCUCACUCAGUCCCUGCUUGCUCCGGCCCAAAGAUUUAUUAUUAUACAUGAGUACACUGUAGCUGACUUCAGAUGCACCAGAAGAGGGGGUCAGAUCUCAUUAUGGGUGGUUGUGAGCCACCAUGUGGUUGCUGGGAUUUGAACUCAGGACCUUCGAAAGAGCAGUCAGUGCUCUUACCCGCUGAGCCAUCUCACCAGCCCUUCUCUUAACUUUUUAUGUAUUUAUUUUAAGACAGAAUUUUUUUGGCGGGCCUGGAACUCUAUGAAGACCAGACUGGUUUCUUGACUCAGAGAUACACCUGCCUCUGCCUCCUGGUGCUGAGAUUUAAGGGCCUUAGUGCCAGACAAAUCUCCGUGAGUUGAGGCCAGCCUGGUCUAUACAUAUGUGAGGAGUUCCAAGCUAGUCAGAACUAUGCAGAGAGACCUUGUCUUAAAAAAUUUAUUUAUUUAAAGAUUUUAUUUAUUUUAUGUAUAUGAGAACACUAUAGCUGCCUUCAGACACAGCAGAAGAGGGCAUCAGAUCCCAGUACAGAUGGUUGUGAGCCACCAUGUGGUUGCUGGGACUUGAACUCAGGAACUUUGGAAGAGCAGUCAGUGCUCCUUUUUUUUUUUUUUUUUUUUGGUUUUUCGAGACAGGGUUUUUUUGUGUAGCCCUGGCUGUCCUGGAACUCACUUUGUAGACCAGGCUGGCCUCGAACUCAGAAAUCCGCCUGCCUCUGCCUCCCGAGUGCUGGGAUUAAAGGUGUGCGCCACCACGCCUGGUGAGAAGACUUUUCUAAGUGUGAAGCCAGAAGCCAUAUGACCCUGCUUCAAGUGAAUGAGGUGGUCAGUGUCCUGAGGGACAACACUCAAUGUUGUCCUCUGUGUCCCAUGUGCCCAGUCAAAAUACAACCU
rnacentral:lncRNA from 1 species